rnacentral:rRNA from 1 species
AGUGAACGCUGGCGGUAGGCCUAACACAUGCAAGUCGAACGGCAGCACAGUAAGAGCUUGCUCUUACGGGUGGCGAGUGGCGGACGGGUGAGGAAUACAUCGGAAUCUACUUUUUCGUGGGGGAUAACGUAGGGAAACUUACGCUAAUACCGCAUACGACCUACGGGUGAAAGCAGGGGAUCUUCGGACCUUGCGCGAUUGAAUGAGCCGAUGUCGGAUUAGCUAGUUGGCGGGGUAAAGGCCCACCAAGGCGACGAUCCGUAGCUGGUCUGAGAGGAUGAUCAGCCACACUGGAACUGAGACACGGUCCAGACUCCUACGGGAGGCAGCGGUGGGGAAUAUUGGACAAUGGGCGCAAGCCUGAUCCAGCCAUACCGCGUGGGUGAAGAAGGCCUUCGGGUUGUAAAGCCCUUUUGUUGGGAAAGAAAAGCAGCAGGUUAAUACCCCGCUGUUCUGACGGUACACAAAGAAUAAGCACCGGCUAACUUCGUG